rnacentral:rRNA from 1 species
UACAGAGGUCUCAAGCGUUGUUCGGAUUCAUUGGGCGUAAAGGGUGCGUAGGCGGCGCGGUAAGUCGGGUGUGAAAUCUUGGAGCUUAACUCCGAAACUGCAUUCGAUACUGCCGUGCUUGAGGACUGGAGAGGAGACUGGAAUUUACGGUGUAGCGGUGAAGUGCGUAGAUAUCGUAAGGAAGACCAGUGGCGAAGGCGGGUCUCUGGACAGUUCCUGACGCUGAGACACGAAGGCCAGGGGAGCAAACGGG